CAGGCGUCUAAGGUAGGCUCCCACUACGUUACCUUACUGAUGAGUCGAGUAGUGGAAGCCGGGACGAAACGCCAA
rnacentral:hammerhead_ribozyme from 15 species